CUAAAAUCCAGAAAAACCAGCACAGUGCAGAAGUGGACCUAUGAGUGAUUAUGGAGGAAUAUCGAAGUGGUUUGCAUAUUGCGAUAUAUCGAUCAAAGGCCAUGAGCAUGAUGAUAAAGGAAUCCAAGGAACCUAGACAAUGAACACAAAACAUUUGGAAAAAACAGCCAGACAUGGAUAUAUUCCCAGCUCCAAACCAAUACUUGGAGAUGAUUUGAGGUAUUGUUAUUGUGUCAAAAAGGAGAUCAGACAUUGCAAGGUUCCCGAUAAAUACAUACAUCGAUUGGUGCAGGUUCUCUUUCAGAAUUAUCAAAAGUGUUACCGUUCCAUUAGAGAUAAGCGCCAUUGUGUAGACAAGAAACAUU